AUUGAACGCUGGCGGCAUGCCUUACACAUGCAAGUCGAACGGCAGCACGGACUUCGGUCUGGUGGCGAGUGGCGAACGGGUGAGUAAUGUAUCGGAACGUACCUUUCAGUGGGGGAUAACGUAGCGAAAGUUACGCUAAUACCGCAUAUUCUGUGAGCAGGAAAGCAGGGGAUCGCAAGACCUUGCGCUGAUUGAGCGGCCGAUAUCAGAUUAGCUAGUUGGUGAGGUAAAGGCUCACCAAGGCGACGAUCUGUAGCGGGUCUGAGAGGAUGAUCCGCCACACUGGAACUGAGACACGGUCCAGACUCCUACGGGAGGCAGCAGUGGGGAAUUUUGGACAAUGGGGCAACCCUGAUCCAGCCAUGCCGCGUGAGUGAAGAAGGCC
rnacentral:rRNA from 1 species